rnacentral:lncRNA from 1 species
AGCUUUGAUUUGUUUAGGACCGCGGCGACGAUGAUGAAACACAUCUCAUCCUUACAGAACUCUGCCCGAGUUUCCCAGGUUUGGAUGGGAGUCCAGCAAGACCUCAGGGCAGCAAGGAAGACCCGGAGGGACUGUCAGCAUUGCACACUGACAGGGUUGCUUGUGGACUGCACAGGAGCCUGAGCUGAGGCAAAGAUGGAUUGAGACGAGAUGGCAGAGAGGGGCAGGAAAAACAAACAAGCGAAAGGCCACCUAGUCGUGCUUGCUGAAGUCAGGGGCCAGCCCACUCUGCUCCUGUACCCAGAGGCUGAGCUUAGUGCCCCUGUCUUCUGCUUCCCAUCGUCGCAUCUGCAUAUGCUGCUGUGUGCAUCCUCUCUCUCAACCAUUUGUGCUUGAGUAACAUCAUCCUUCAUUCGGAGUUUGACCUUGAUUCUGAGCAGAUAUUCCAGCAUAUUCACUCCCUAAUUGUUUAGAGACGAUGCUAACUAAAAUGCCUUGAAAAUACGGAAACACUGCCAUUAGCAGAUCGUUCUGAUGGAUUAUGGGACACCUUUGCCUCCCCUAAGUAGCGGCUAGCUCUAUCAGUAGGAGACUUCAUCGCACAGUUCACCAUCGCAGUCCCAGUACUCCCGACCCAGAUGAACCAGGGAUGUGCAGCAAGGGUGCUGUAUUGAAGACUCAGACAAGUUGGCCUUGAGCUAUUUGUCUCUGAGCCUUGGGUGUGUUUCCUGAAGAAACUGAGUGUCUUCCUCGUGUUCUUAGAGACGAGAGCCGGGCUCUGAUGUGUAUCGGGCUGAGUGAGCCGCCUGAAGGACCAGAGUGCUACAGAUGCUCAUCUAUCAGAUUCCUCCAGCCUCUCAGAAUCUGUAAUCCCAAACCAAACCACGUGAGGUGUGUCUGCUGUUAAAGGUACCUCCUGGUUAAUGUGACGAUGCGCCCGAGUUACAGUGGCGGACAGAGCCUGGAAAACCCCACAGGGCUCUCUUCCGUCUAGACAAAGGCUUAGGAUCCAGCCCUUGGCGUUCAGGUGAUACCAUGGCUGAGUGAUGGAGGUGUACCUCAGAGAAGCAGCAUCAGGAUCCAUGGUUGACCAACCUGGGCCGUUCAAGUCUGUGCCCUCUCCACAAGGGGAUCUAUUUUACGAGGAUAUACACAGUGGCCUCCCAGCCUCCUUUGUCACAAAUCCACACUGCCAAUGUGACAAAGCUGCUUCUGAAGACAGCAGAAUAUAGUCCUUAGUCUUCACUGGCCCACAGGGUCCAUUCACAAAACUCCCAUUCAUUUUAUGAAAAAGGAUAACGGGAGCAAGACAUCGCAUACCUUUAGACGGAACCAUGCAGAGAAGUUAAAUUUUCUCAAUGUUUACCUUUCCUCGGGACGUGAAUUAGGUGGGAAUAGGUAUACUUUGCGUGGUCUGCUGAGAACACCAACACUACAGAAACAAAGCAUUAAAGGGAGCCAGCUUAAGGUAAGCCCUGUUGGCAUAGUUCUGUUAGUCACAGCAAUGACACCAGAGCUGGGUGGAAACUGUGACAAAGGGCAUGGCUGACUCCCCUACACAUUCGAAGCAGAGAGAGUGUUUAAGGAAGUGCCAGGGCACAGUGUACGGGAGCACCCUCAAGUCUGCGGUGGGUAGCUCGUACAAAAUUCUUUUUUAUGUAUGUGAGUACAUGGUUGCUGUCUUCAGACACACACCAGAAGAGGGCAUCAGAUCCCAUUAUGGGUAGUGGUGAGCCACCACUAUGUGGCUGCUGUAAUUGAACCCAGGACCUCUAGAAGAGUGGUCAGUGCUCUUAACCGCUGAGCCAUCUCUCCAGCCCACAAAAUUCUUUCUGAAGCAGGAAAAGGUGUGCAGAGGAAAGAGCUUGCUAGGCUAAGUUGGUAAUGGGCGGCGUCCAGUGUGAGGACAACCCAGCAUCGGUUUGCAGCCCGCUUGCACCCUACAGCCCUCCACAAAAGCGAUUCUGCAGUUCCUCUGUAUUGUAUAUAGUGUCAGCUUUGAAGCUGAUUAGCAAAGACAGAAACCAGAGGAAUAACACGUCUGUCUCAGACAAGGGCAACGUUACCUUCAUAAUAGGCAGGUCCUCCUCCUCACGGGGAGUCAUUUCCACCUGGACCUUCAGCGAGCAAGGGAGGAAACAGAGAAAAUGUCAGUACGUUGCUCUUGCCUCUGGAGCCUCGUUGGUGGGUACAUGGGGCUCCCUGGUGGAUGGACGUAACCAGUUGACACAGGGAGACUUGGUGGCAGCUCACACAUACUUCCACCAUGAAGGAGUUAAAAACCGUUCACAAACGAGAAAAGAAAAACAGAUACAAAAAUGGAGUGGGUGGGAUGCUCCAUUACAGGUAGAUGAAGCCACGAUUUAGCAUCUUCCAAUGUCCACUGGUCAGUGGAGAGCCACCACUCUCCCCCACCCCCAGCUCUAUCCCGACACUGCCUAAUUCUUCAGCAACUCUCAGGUGUGGAACGUGGACCAUAGAUGGUGGACUCUUACCGAGUCCACUAGUGAUGUGACCGACCAGGGAAGAUCCUCAGAAAGAAAAUGUACCGUGUGACCCCAUAGCCAUUCAGCAUCAGCAGAACAGGCUCUGGGCAAAGAUCAGCCCUGGGCCGCCUGAUUAUCUCAUCCCUGGCUCCACCCAGGCCUGUGGGACAGUGAACAUCAGAUGGACUGGAGGGGAGGGAAUAGGGUUAAUCCCGUAUCCCGUACUUGAAGUCAGACUUCCAGGCUGUAUUCUUUUUGAAAUCAGAAAUAACUCAAACUGUCAAGUGUGUUCUUGGCAUUUUUGGCCUCAAAGUUGUUCUGUUGUACCUUAUUUCAGGGUGCUUUUCACAGUCUCAGUAUGAAACCUGGUUCCCAGAGUCAGUCAGUGCUCAUUCUGCCCACAAGGCCGUGGGCUGUCUCUAUAGAUGUUUCAGGUGUUCUGCACAUCUCAUGCCGACAGGUCUACACCACAUUGCACGAUCUGUCAGUUUUAGUGUCUGUUAGUCAGAUGCACUGAGGAUUCAUCUGUGUUGUGGUGUGCACCUGUGCUGUACCUGAGCUACACCUGUGCUGCAUCUGCUCUGCACCUGAGCUACACCUGAUCUACACCUGUCCUGCACCUGUAUUGCACCUACAUACAUCCUGCACCUGUCUGCAUCUGAGCUACACAUCCUGCACCUGAGCUACACCUGUGCUGCACCUGCACUGCACCUGUAUUGCCAUCCUGCACCUGAGCUACACCUUCACUUCACCUGUGCUGUACCUGUAUUGCACCUGUGCUGUGCUUGCAUUGCACCUGAGCUGCACCUGAGCUAUACCUGUGCUGCACCUGCACUGCACCUGGGCUGUACAGGUGCUGCACCAACCUGUGCCUCUUUUAUGGCUGUAGUUUUGUUUUCUCAUAUAUCAGUUGAUAACAAUGGCUUCUUCCCACAGCUUGUCUAUUCUAGGUAGUGGCAUGGUGACCAUGUGACUUCUAUUUCUCCUGGGUGUAUGAAUUGCUGAGCCACAUGGUAGCUCUUUGACAUUUUCAGAACCGGCAUAGCCAUUCUUCUUAGGUAUCCCCAGCAAUGUACCCGAGAUUCUGUUGCUCCCCUCCCCCAUCACUGUCUGUAACACAUCUUUUCCCCCUUCUGUCUAUAGCUGGGUUGUUCUUCAGUGACCCUCUACAGGUGAUAAAUGACUUUUGUCAGCUCUCUGCCUCUCUUGACCCCAAUCAUAUCAAUUUGUUGUGAGUUUUAUCAUGUUUUUGGCUUGCUAAUGCCUGGUUGAAGGUUUAAUGAAGAUCUUUUAAUGAAGAUCUGAGGGCUGAGGGCUCUUCCUGGUUCACAAAUUCUUGUCAUCUCUUCCUAGAUUCUCUUUCCACCCAUCCCCCAUGUGCCUGGUAGCUUACUUAUCAUUACGUAUCUUUACCACGGGUUUGACUUGAUGCUUGUUCAUGUAUUUCUGCUGACUAUGACUUGGCACUGAGUGAUGUAUAAGCUCUUUCCUCUGCUGGGUCAAAUCUGCUGUUUAGGGAAGUCAUAGACUGAACCAUGUUCUCCAGUGUUCAUGUCAAAUGUUCGGUAUUAGUGACCAGGCCUUUAUUUGAGAAUCGGUUCCUGUACUGGCUAGAAAGGAGCUUUAGUUGGGGAAGUGCCUCCAUGAGAUCCAGCUGUGGGGCAUUUUCUAGGUUGGUGAUCAAGUCAAGCCGGGGGGGGGGGGGGGGCGGGUUUGGCAGUGUGGGUGGGGCCAUCCCUGGGUUGGUUGUCUUGGGUUCCAUAAGAGAACAAGCUGAGCAAGCCAGGGGAAGCAAGCCAGUAAGUAACAUCCUUCCAUGUCCUCUGCAUCAGCUCUUGCCUCCUGACCUGCUUGAGUUCCAGUCCUGACUUCCUUUGGUGAUGAACAGCAGUGUGGGAAGUGUAAGCUUAAUAAACCCUUUCCUCCCC